AAGUCGUAACAAGGUUUCCGUAGGUGAACCUGCGGAAGGAUCAUUAUCACGUUAAUCCACGUAUCAACCAUCUGUGAACCGUACCUCAACCUCUGGUGUUUCCUUGUGCUCCUCUUUUUCCUUUCUCUCUCUUCCUCUCACAGGGAGGUUGCGGAAGAAGAAGAAGAGUGCAAGGGAGGAUCCGAGCGUAUUUUACCUUUUUUUUUCUCUUCAAAAAAAAAAACCAUUAACCACUCUAACCAAAACCUUAUAACUUCAUGAACUAAUCUUUUUUUCAUACUCUUCGGAGAUGAAAUUCAUUACGAAACAAAGAACAACUCUUAGCAACGGAUAUCUUGGUUCUC
rnacentral:misc_RNA from 1 species